AAAGACCCCGUGAACCUUUACUAUAGCUUGACACUGAACAUUGAGCCUUGAUGUGUAGGAUAGGUGGGAGGCUUUGAAGUGUGGACGCCAGUCUGCAUGGAGCCGACCUUGAAAUACCACCCUUUAAUGUUUGAUGUUCUAACGUGGGCCCCUUACCGGGGUUGCGGACAGUGUCUGGUGGGUAGUUUGACUGGGGCGGUCUCCUCCUAAAGAGUAACGGAGGAGCACGAAGGUUGGCUAAUCCUGGUCGGACAUCAGGAGGUUAGUGCAAUGGCAUAAGCCAGCUUGACUGCGAGCGUGACGGCGCGAGCAGGUGCGAAAGCAGGUCAUAGUGAUCCGGUGGUUCUGAAUGGAAGGGCCAUCGCUCAACGGAUAAAAGGUACUCCGGGGAUAACAGGCUGAUACCGCCCAAGAGUUCAUAUCGACGGCGGUGUUUGGCACCUCGAUGUCGGCUCAUCACAUCCUGGGGCUGAAGUAGGUCCCAAGGGUAUGGCUGUUCGCCAUUUAAAGUGGUACGCGAGCUGGGUUUAGAACGUCGUGAGACAGUUCGGUCCCUAUCUGCCGUGGGCGCUGGAGAACUGAGGGGGGCUGCUCCUAGUACGAGAGGACCGGAGUGGACGCAUCACUGGUGUUCGGGUUGUCAUGCCAAUGGCACUGCCCGGUAGCUAAAUGCGGAAGAGAUAAGUGCUGAAAGCAUCUAAGCACGAAACUUGCCCCGAGAUGAGUUCUCCCUGACUCCUUGAGAGUCCUGAAGGAACGUUGAAGACGACGACGUUGAUAGGCCGGGUGUGUAAGCGCAGCGAUGCGUUGAGCUAACCGGUACUAAUGAACCGUGAGGCUUAACCUU
rnacentral:rRNA from 1 species